rnacentral:rRNA from 1 species
UACGUAGGGUGCAAGCGUUGUCCGGAAUUAUUGGGCGUAAGAGCUCGUAGGCGGUCUGUUGCGUCGGCUGUGAAAACCCGGGGCUCAACCCCGGGCCUGCAGCCGAUACGGGCAGGCUAGAGUUCGGUAGGGAGACUGAAAUCCUGGUGUAGCGGUGAAAUGCGCAGAUAUCAGGAGGAACACCGGUGGCGAAGGCGGGUCUCUGGGCCGAUACUGACGCUGAGGAGCGAAAGCGUGGGGAGCGAACAGG